ensembl:lncRNA
UUGCAAAAGGGGUAGAAACCAAGUGGAUCAAAGUUUCCAAAUUAAACGCCAAGUCUCAGCACAGGCCUGAGCCAGCAGGGUGGGACUACAAAUCCCGACGUGCCUAGCAGAGCCGUCGCCCAGCAGGGAGGACUACGUUUCCCAGCGGGCUCUGCAGCAGGCAGACGGGCGGUAGGGCGGGGAGGGGCGGAGCCGGGAGGGGCGGGGCCGCGGGGUAGGGUGCUGCCCUCUGCCGGGCACGGCGGGAAGUGAGUGCCGAGUGACAGCAGGAGCCCCGGCGCCGGGCGCGGGGCUCGGUGACAGCGGAGGCGGCGGCCGCGGGCUGGACGUAGGGAGCGGCGGCGGCGCCGACGGCAGAGGGCAGGGCGGACGGGGGCGGGCCUCCCCGGUGGCGCGGAGCCGGAGGAGCCCGGGAGGGGGCGGCCGGCGCAGCUCUCGGGCCCGACACCUGAACUUGGGACAAGUUGCCGGAGUCGCGGGGCGCGGGCGGCGGACGGAUUGACCUUCAUAGCUAGGUGAGGAAAUAGAGGCAUAGAGAGCUCUAGGGGAGAAAUUAAGACCUAUGGGUUGCAAACAGGCCUCCCUCAUGGGCCCAAGAUCCUCAAGCAAAAUGCCUUCAGUGGGGCUUUGCAGACUCCGUGGCCACAGUCCCCAGCACUCCCUGUUGUACCACACAGCCUGGUCUCCACGGUCGACAACAGAGCAGAUGGUCAGGCCUGCAGCAUCUCUACCACCCCUGCCCUGCCCUGCCCUGCCCCCUGGGACUGGCUUGGAGUGCAUCCGGCUCGUUCACUUACUACUGACUCCUGACCAGAGGCCCUCCCUUGCCCUCAUGUUGCCUGGCCCUCCUGCACUCUGCACCAGAGAUACAUACGGAUCUCCUGGUCUGCAGUGUCACCAAGGCAGAGAUAAGAUCUCAGCCAUAAGGCUGGAUCUGGGACUUAUCAUCAUGCCCACAGGAAGUGCUUUGUUGCCUGUGGAGCAAUGGGUGAGAGCAGGUGGCAACCAAGACGGGGAGAAGCAAGAGGCAGAGUCAUCAUCAGCU